CGCGAAAUCUUAGUACACUGAACAGCUGGAGAAGGAUUGGAGGGCGGGAAGGAAAGGAGCCUGAAGUACUGUCACUAUUUCCCCCGAUAUCUCUGCUUCUUGGAGGGCGCCAUGGACGAGGAUUGUGAGAUAAGUGAGUGAAGGCCCUGAGAAGAGGUAGUGGCAAGGAGAGCUCCCUAACUUAGCCCUGAGUGGAGAUAUUAGUGGUUAUUUAAGGUUGGAGAGGUGGGGAGGCAAGAAGUGGCCAGCUCUCUUAGUAAGAAACUGAAGCAAAGUCGGCUGCCGUUCGCCCCUCUCGACUCCAGAACCCAGCAUUGCCCCGCCCUUCCCUCUCGGUCAGCCUCUCCCUCUGGCCCUGCAGGAGACGCACAGACAGCGAAGAAGAGGCGUCUUUCGGUGUGUGGGGCUGCCCGCGGUGGUGGUGGUGGUGGUGGUGGUGGUGAGGGGGAGAAGAGGAAGAGAGGAAGAUCAAAAGUUAUUGUUCAGAAGAAGAAGAGCUCCUCCAAGAUGGCCGACAAGGACAAGAAAGAGGAGGAAGAGGAGGAGGAGGAGGAGGAGGAGGAGAGCCCAGUAGCAAAGAAGAGGCCAGUAGAGAAGACAAGAAGACUCCUCCCUCUUUUCCUCUCCUCCUCCUCCCCCGCCUCCUCCUCCUCCUCCUCUUCCUCCUCUUCAAAGAGCAAGGAAGAGAAGGAGAAUGUUUUGAGGAGGAAGAUGAAAGAGGAGGAAGGGAAGAAGAGGAAGAAGGAAGAGGAGAAGAAGAAGAAGAAGAAGAAGGAAGGGAAGAAGAGAGAGCAGACUAGGAAGAUAAAGAAGAAUAAAAAUGAGAAGAAGGAAGAGGAGGAGGAGAAGAAGGAAGAAGAGGAGGAGAAGGAAGAAGAGGCGUGCAUUCUUGGGAGGAAGAGGAAGACUAAGAUUAAUGGGAAGACUGCAGGAGGGAAGAAGAAGAAGAUAGAAGAGGUGGAGGAGGAGGAGGAAGAAAAGGAAGAGAAGAAGAAGGAGGAGGAGGGGAAAGAGAAAGAGGAGGAGAAGGAGAAAGAAAAGAAGGAGGAGGAAGAGGAAAAAGAAGACAAAGAAAAAGAAGAAGAGGAGGAGAAGGAAGAAGAAGAAGAAGGAAUAAAAGAAGAGAAAUUAGAACCAAAACAAAAAGAAGAAGAAGAGGAGGAGGAGGAGGAGGAAGAAAAGAAAGAAAAUAAAGACAAAAUUGAAGAAAAACAAAUAAAAAAAGAAGAGGAAGAAGAGAAGAAGGAAGAGGAGGAGGAGGAGGAGGAGAAGAAGAGGAAGAAGACACCAGGGAAGAUAACGAACUAUUUUAAGAAGAAGGAAGAGGAGGAGGUGAAGAAGAAGAAGAAGAAGGAGGAGGAGGAAGAGAAAGAGGAGAUGAAGCAGAAGGAGGAGGAGGAGGUGAAGAAGAAGAAGAAGGAGGAGGAGGAAGAGAAAGAGGACGUGAAGCAGAAGGAGGAGGAGGAGGUGAAGAAGAAGAAGAAGAAGGAGGAGGAGGAGGAAGAGAAAGAGGACGUGAAGCCAGAAGGAGGAGGAGGAGGUGAAGAAGAAGAAGAAGAAGGAGGAGGAAGAGAAAGAGGAGGUGAAGCAGAAGGAGGAGGAGGAGGAGAAGAAAGAGGAAGAAGAGGAAGACGAUACCAAGCCAGAAAACGAAGAAGAAGAAGAAGAAGAGGAGGAGGAGGAAGAGAAGAAGAGGAAGGAAGAGGAGAAAGAAGACAAGAAUAAACAGGAGAUGAGAGAGCGAAAGAAGAGACUAACUCCAAAACAAAUAGAGAGAGAGAGAGAGAGAGAAGAGAGGAAGAGAGAGAGAGAGGAGAAGAGGAAGGAGAGAGAGAAAAAGAAACAGGAAGAACAGGCAGAGAAGGAGAAGAAGAGGAAGGAGAAGGAAGAGGAGAGACAAAAACAGAAGGAGGAGAAGGAGAAACUGAAGGAAGACUCAAGGAAGAAGAGACAAGAAGAAUUAGACGCCAGGAGACAGAAGAAGGAAGAAGAGCAACAGAGGAAGGAGGAGGAGAGGAGAAUGAAGGAGGAGGAGAGGAGGUUGAAGGAGGAAGAGAGGAGGUUGAAGGAGGAGGAGAGGAGGAUGAAGGAGGAAGAGAAACAAAAACAGGAAGACAAACUGAAGCACAGAUUUGCAAGUUUUUUUCUGGCAAAGAAGAGAGACGUUUGAAGACGAGGAGGAGAGAGAGACUGCUGGGAUCUUUAAGCAGUUCAGGGUGAAAGAAGACAUGCAAUUGGCACCCCUGCAUCGUGUUCACCUCACCUCACCGCAGCGGGAUGGCACUGAACGAGGCUGUGGGGGCGUCUCCAGGGGGGCAGGGGGGGCCACUGACCUACCUGGCCCUCCUGAAGUCCGGUGGCCACAGGGUCAGGUCGUCGCUAAGGACCUGGCCCCCUGCUACCUCUGUGCUGGCUGCUAAUGAUGAUGAUGACGAUGAUAUUGAGAUUCUUGAUAACAACUACACCACCACCACCGCCAUCACCUCCGCUCCCCCACAAGGGGCUACCCCAGCACCCCAGGGAGGCAGAGGGAGGGAGCGGGCCGGGCCAAGCUAUUGUCAUUUUGCGAAAACAGGCGGCCGGCUUACUGGGGCACCUGGAGCAAGCCUAGACAGUGUGUGUGGGGCUCGGCGGCCAUUUUUGAAGGAGGUAGGUGGAGGAGGAAGAGGAGGUGGAGGAGGAGGAAGAGCAGGAGGAGGAGGAGGAGGAGGAAGAGCAGGAGGAAGAGGAGGAGGAGGAGAAAGUUCGAAAUUUUGUGUUUUUUAUUUAUUUAUUUUCCUUGUGUGUGUUAUAAGUUAGUAGUAGUAGUAAUAGUAGUAGUAGUAAUAGUAGUAGUAGUAGUAUCCCCUGUACCACUUGAAGACCUCCACCAGCCCCCUCUUAGUCACCCUUGCUGUGUCCCCUGUACCACUUGAAGACCUCCACCAGCCCUAACCAGCCGUUCCCUGCCCUCGUAGCCACUGACCCCCCCCUCUCUCUCUCUCUCUCUCUCUCUCUUCCAGCCGGACCCUGGACUACGAAUAUGAUAGUGAUGAUGACUGGGAGGAAGACGAGGGCGGAGAAAGCCUAAGUGACUCUGAAGGGGAAGAGAAAGAGGAUGAGGAUCAGUACGAAGUUGAUAAUGACUUUUUCGUUCCCCACGGAUACCUCUCUGACGACGAGGGGAAGGAGGAGGAGGAAGAGGAGGAGGAGGAGGAGAAGAAAUGUGUCAGGGAUGGUGAUGUUGAUAUAGAGAACAAGAAUAAGGAGAAGCUGAAGAGAAAACAGGCGGAAUUUGAAGAAGAGAUGAAGAAGAAAACGAGAGAAUUGAAACCUCGCGUGAUUGGCUGUCUGUGGCUGACCGACCAAGCCACCAACCCGGCCUUCACCCAGCUCCUGAAGGUGUUAGACCCCCACCGAGCCGUGCAUCUGGGCCCGCACCACCCCAUACCUACAGCCUGGGCGGGGGUGGCGUCCCUGCCUGGCCGUGGCGAGGGGGCGGGGGAGGAGGAGACCACAGGAGAAGAGAAAAGUGGAAAAAAGUUUGCAAAGGAAUUUCCUGAAGAAGCUGUGGCCCCCCUGAUACACCUACUACAUGGGAACAGGCAUGGAAAAAUGUUCCUUUCAAGAGAAUUUGCUGAUUAUUGGAGGCAGAAGGGCUCGGACGGUGCUGGCGGUGGUGGUGGUGGUGGUAAGGCUUCAGUGAGUUGUAUUAUCGCAAAGAGGAAAGUGGUGCAGAAAAUACAAGAAUUGGGUACCUGGAAAAAACCACAAGAUCGAAGGUCAACAGCGCGGUGUCUUCAUGUGGUACGUAUCUUCGGACGUUCGCGAUAGAUAUGGUUGCAGCGAUCUGACCCUUCCGAACACCUGGGUUUAUCUGAAUAACCACAAAGAACGUAAAGAUGAGGACUCCGAGGUCACCCCAGAGGACCCCAGCAGGACCCCCAGGCAGUCUAAGCUCAUCCCCAUCACCGCAUUCACCCGUAAGACCCCCACCCUGCCCGCCACGCCCACCCCAGUAACCACAGCAGAGGUCACCCAGUCGACAACCCAGGGGAACUCCAAAGAUGUGGUUACGGAUUCGCCCAUAGCUCCACGCACGGGGCAGGUGGAGGGCUGUGGUUUGGUGGAGGGGUCACCCACACCUGUACCUACCUCCACACCUUCGCCUGGGUCCGCCGCCCGCCCCAUGUCCGCAGGAAAGGGGAAAAGAAAGGGAGUGCUUUUCUCGCCAAAGACACCAGCCAGCAGGAGUCAAGCCAAGAGUUUCGUGUCGUUUUUCAAGAAGGGUGGUGGUGGUGGUGGUGGUGGUGGUGGUGGUGAUUGUGGUGGUGGUGGUGGUGGUGAUUGUAUUGUUCUUAGUGAUUGAUUUUGUUUUUUUUUUUGUUUUUUUUGUUUUCUCGGAUAAUUUUUUUGUUUUUUUUUUCAUUUAUUUAUUUAUUUUUUUGUUUAUUUCCACUUUCACUGCCAUGUUUGUGUUCAUGAUUGACACACGCACACACACACACACACGCACACACACACACACACACACACACACACACACACACAC